rnacentral:rRNA from 1 species
AUUGAACGCUGGCGGCAGGCCUAACACAUGCAAGUCGAGCGGAUGAGUGGAGCUUGCUCCAUGAUUCAGCGGCGGACGGGUGAGUAAUGCCUAGGAAUCUGCCUGGUAGUGGGGGACAACGUUUCGAAAGGAACGCUAAUACCGCAUACGUCCUACGGGAGAAAGUGGGGGAUCUUCGGACCUCACGCUAUCAGAUGAGCCUAGGUCGGAUUAGCUAGUUGGUGAGGUAAAGGCUCACCAAGGCGACGAUCCGUAACUGGUCUGAGAGGAUGAUCAGUCACACUGGAACUGAGACGCGGUCCAGACUCCUACGGGAGGCAGCAGUGGGGAAUAUUGGACAAUGGGCGAGAGCCUGAUCCAGCCAUGCCGCGUGUGUGAAGAAGGUCUUCGGAUUGUAAAGCACUUUAAGUUGGGAGGAAGGGCAGUAAGUUAAUACCUUGCUGUUUUGACGUUACCAACAGAAUAAGCACCGGCUAACUUCGUG